rnacentral:rRNA from 1 species
CUAGCUGUAAACGAUGGAUACUAGGCGUUGAGAGUAUCGACCCUCUCAGUGUCGUAGCUAACGCGUUAAGUAUCCCGCCUGGGGAGUACGCGCGCAAGCGUGAAACUCAAAGGAAUUGACGGGGGCCCCCACAAGCGGUGGAGUAUGUGGUUUAAUUCGAUGCAACGCGAAGAACCUUACCAGGGCUUGACAUGUCCGGAACCCUGCCCAAAGGCGGGGGUGCCUACGGGAACCGGAACACAGGUGGUGC